UACGUAGGUGGCAAGCGUUGUCCGGAUUUAUUGGGUUUAAAGGGUGCGUAGGCGGCUUGUUAAGUCAGUGGUGAAAGCCCCAGCUUAACUUGGGAACUGCCAUUGAUACUGAUGGUCUUGAGUACAUUUGAGGUGGGCGGAAUGUGUCAUGUAGCGGUGAAAUGCUUAGAUAUGACACAGAACACCGAUUGCGAAGGCAGCUCACUAAACUGUAAACUG
rnacentral:rRNA from 1 species